rnacentral:rRNA from 1 species
AGCAGUCGCCACGGUAAUACGGAGGGUGCAAGCGUUAAUCGGAAUUACUGGGCGUAAGGGGUGCGUAGGCGGUUGUUUAAGUCUGAUGUGAAAUCCCCGAGCUUAACUUGGGAACUGCAUUUGAAGCUGGCAAGCUAGAGUCUUGUAGAGGGGGGUAGAAUUCCAGGUGUAGCGGUGAAAUGCGUAGAGAUCUGGAGGAAUACCGGUGGCGAAGGCGGCCCCCUGGACAAAGACUGACGCUCAGGUGCGAAAGCGUGGGGAGCAAACAGGAUUAGAUACCCGUGUAGUCCCUGUCUCUUAUAA